rnacentral:sRNA from 1 species
CCCUAGCCCUGAUAGCAGUGGAAAUCCUUUUAUGCCGUGGUUCGGCAUAAAAGAUUGAAACGAAUAGCAGGAUUAGCU